rnacentral:rRNA from 1 species
UGGGGAAUAUUGCACAAUGGAGGAAACUCUGAUGCAGCGACGCCGCGUGAGUGAAGAAGGUCUUCGGAUCGUAAAACUCUGUCCUUGGUGAAGAUAAUGACGGUAGCCAAGGAGGAAGCCCCGGCUAACUACGUGCCAGCAGCCGCGGUAAUACGUAGGGGGCGAGCGUUGUCCGGAUUUACUGGGCGUAAAGGGUGAGUAGGCGGUAAUAUGUGUCAGAUGUAAAAGGCUAAGGCUUAACCAUAGUUAGCAUUUGAAACUGUAUUACUUGAGUGCAGGAGAGGUAAGUGGAAUUCCUAGUGUAGCGGUGAAAUGCGUAGAUAUGAGGAGGAACACCAGUGGCGAAGGCGACUUACUGGACUGUAACUGACGCUGAGUCACGAAAGCGUCGGUAGCAAACA